ACAGGCGGUGUUUUUCAAGAGAGGCACCUUGACAGAGUCCUGCUCAAAGGCAAAACUGGACUUUCCACCACCUGGUGAUCUUCCGGGGACAAAAUUUAAAUGCCACAUAUCGCCGUUGGUGUUACAGCCUUUCCUCUCUGCACGUGAACCUCAGGAAGCCAUUCCAAAGAUUCCAGUCUCGAGAGGCGGGCUCACUUUGUAUAACUACUGUCACUCGAGAGCCAAGUCGGACCAUAGAGAGUUUCUUUGGCUACAAGAUGGCGGAUUCUUGGACGGCCCAAGGACUUUCUUCCAAAUAAAAGUCACGGAUACUGUCAAGGCAUGUGUUACUCUUCGCAAUUAUCUCAUCAAUACCGAUGCCACCAACAUACUGAUAGCAAGAUACGCACCACCAAAAUUUGUAAAACACUGUUUCAGUAUCUGCUGGGAUACAGGAGGGAGAACGGAGGAAGCAGUUGGUCUUGACUUCCAUUGACCACCAGACCAUCACAUGCGGCUGCAGGAAUCUGCAAGGAUCUGGUGCAGUUUUUCCAGGCUCCAGCAGGGAAGGCGCCCUGGCAGAAUGCAGUGUUGAGGUGUGGCCUACUACACCAAAGUGUAAAUGUAGCAGAGAAUUGACACUGCCUAAACUACGUACCCACACAACUUAAAUGUCACUGUCAAUAAAUUUUCGAACAGAAA